rnacentral:rRNA from 3 species
AGAGUUUGAUCAUGGCUCAGAUUGAACGCUGGCGGCAGGCCUAACACAUGCAAGUCGAACGGUAACAGGAAGAAGCUUGCUUCUUUGCUGACGAGUGGCGGACGGGUGAGUAAUGUCUGGGAAGCUGCCUGAUGGAGGGGGAUAACUACUGGAAACGGUAGCUAAUACCGCAUAACGUCGCAAGACCAAAGAGGGGGACCUUCGGGCCUCUUGCCAUCGGAUGUGCCCAGAUGGGAUUAGCUAGUAGGUGGGGUAACGGCUCACCUAGGCGACGAUCCCUAGCUGGUCUGAGAGGAUGACCAGCCACACUGGAACUGAGACACGGUCCAGACUCCUACGGGAGGCAGCAGUGGGGAAUAUUGCACAAUGGGCGCAAGCCUGAUGCAGCCAUGCCGCGUGUAUGAAGAAGGCCUUCGGGUUGUAAAGUACUUUCAGCGGGGAGGAAGGGAGUAAAGUUAAUACCUUUGCUCAUUGACGUUACCCGCAGAAGAAGCACCGGCUAACUCCGUGCCAGCAGCCGCGGUAAUACGGAGGGUGCAAGCGUUAAUCGGAAUUACUGGGCGUAAAGCGCACGCAGGCGGUUUGUUAAGUCAGAUGUGAAAUCCCCGGGCUCAACCUGGGAACUGCAUCUGAUACUGGCAAGCUUGAGUCUCGUAGAGGGGGGUAGAAUUCCAGGUGUAGCGGUGAAAUGCGUAGAGAUCUGGAGGAAUACCGGUGGCGAAGGCGGCCCCCUGGACGAAGACUGACGCUCAGGUGCGAAAGCGUGGGGAGCAAACAGGAUUAGAUACCCUGGUAGUCCACGCCGUAAACGAUGUCGACUUGGAGGUUGUGCCCUUGAGGCGUGGCUUCCGGAGCUAACGCGUUAAGUCGACCGCCUGGGGAGUACGGCCGCAAGGUUAAAACUCAAAUGAAUUGACGGGGGCCCGCACAAGCGGUGGAGCAUGUGGUUUAAUUCGAUGCAACGCGAAGAACCUUACCUGGUCUUGACAUCCACGGAAGUUUUCAGAGAUGAGAAUGUGCCUUCGGGAACCGUGAGACAGGUGCUGCAUGGCUGUCGUCAGCUCGUGUUGUGAAAUGUUGGGUUAAGUCCCGCAACGAGCGCAACCCUUAUCCUUUGUUGCCAGCGGUCCGGCCGGGAACUCAAAGGAGACUGCCAGUGAUAAACUGGAGGAAGGUGGGGAUGACGUCAAGUCAUCAUGGCCCUUACGACCAGGGCUACACACGUGCUACAAUGGCGCAUACAAAGAGAAGCGACCUCGCGAGAGCAAGCGGACCUCAUAAAGUGCGUCGUAGUCCGGAUUGGAGUCUGCAACUCGACUCCAUGAAGUCGGAAUCGCUAGUAAUCGUGGAUCAGAAUGCCACGGUGAAUACGUUCCCGGGCCUUGUACACACCGCCCGUCACACCAUGGGAGUGGGUUGCAAAAGAAGUAGGUAGCUUAACCUUCGGGAGGGCGCUUACCACUUUGUGAUUCAUGACUGGGGUGAAGUCGUAACAAGGUAACCGUAGGGGAACCUGCGGUUGGAUCACCU